GUCUCCGGCCACACCACUCUGAACGCGCCCGAUCCCGUCUGAUCUCAGAAGCUAAGCAGGGUCGGGCCUGGUUAGUACUUGGAUGGGAGACCACCUGGGAAUACCGGGUGCUGUAGGCU
ensembl:rRNA 5S_rRNA 5S ribosomal RNA